GCAACGGUGGUCUGGCGGUUAGAACGCUGGCCUUGUAAUCCUGGGGUCUCGGGUUCGAUUCCCGGCGGUGCC
rnacentral:tRNA from 1 species